AGAGGUCGCUACAAUCACGUACACGUUAAACAAGCAUCACAACAACACAGCAGCUACUAGAGAACAUAUAUGGAAGGAAAUAAUGACAGCUGGCAUUGAUUAUUUAUUAGCCUGUUAUUUGCGAUGAUGAUGGUGAUGGCGAUGAAGAUGGUGAUGAAGGUGCGCUGCUGAAGCUGCGUAAAGCACAGGAAGUUGCAUCCUAUACCAAUUUGUGAAGGACCCAUGGAAGCAGCGAGCAGAUGUGACCAGUGUCAUGGAAUAUAAUGAAAGACUUGCUCGCUUUCGUCAAGGUCAUGUCAACCCAUUUGACAGGGGAGAGAAAAACAGCAGCACUGAGGGGAAGAAUCUUCUUAAACAUGAGGUGAGGUCGGAGAUCUUUUCCUCUGAAUCCAAAACUCAGAGUUCAGACCGUGCAAUGGAUCUGGGCUUGGCUGAAGAUCACUUCUCUCGACCUGUGGUAAGCACUUAAUACUUUUAAUUGCUCAGCUGAUAGUGCUUGCAGAUAGGCUUACUAGAAUCUAUAUCCUGCUGAUGGCCAGUAUAAUGCUGAUACAUGCAUAAAACUAUUUAAUACUAGCAAUUGGUAUUUACUCAACAUUGCUGAGAAGUGAGUACUUAUGAAAACAGACAAAAAUGCAUUAUUUUUGACAAAGCUGUUAGUAGAUUAUAGAUCUAGAACUAUUACAUGCUAGAGAAAUGUCACUUCUGUUAACUUCUAUUUAUAUAAAGGGCGGACUGCUCUAACUCUACUGCAUUGGUAUAUGUACAUUUGAUUUGUUAGUUUGCCAUAAAAAGGGCCUCUUUUAGAAGCUCUAUACUGAAAACCCCAUACAAAGUUCAUUGUCAGUAAUAUUUAGAAGGAAGGUGCAAAUCUGACAGAUUAGCAUGCACCUUCAGAAAGGACUUUAUUGUUAAAGGUAGUGAAUAUAGAAAAAAAAUCUGCUUCGUCUUUUUUUUUUUUUUUUUUACCAAAUUUUUGGACGAAAUUUUCUACUAUAUUUUCUGACAAACAAUUCACAAGAUACACUAUAUUGCCAAAAGUAUUGAGACACCCCCCCAAAUCAUUGAAUUCAGGGGUUCCAAUCACUUCCAUGGCCACAGGUGUAUAAAAUCAAGCACCUAGGCUUGCAAACUGCUUCUAC